UGCGUAGGCGGGUUUCUAAGUCAGAGGUGAAAGCCUGGAGCUCAACUCCAGAACUGCCUUUGAUACUGGAAGUCUUGAGUAUGGCAGAGGUGAGUGGAACCGCGAGUGUAGAGGUGAAAUUCGUAGAUAUUCGCAAGAACACCAGUGGCGAAGGCGGCUCACUGGGCCAUUACUGACGCUGAGGCACGAAAGCGUGGGAGCAAACA
rnacentral:rRNA from 1 species